UCUUUGAUUUAAAAUCGACAAUCAACAUCCUGUCCCAAAGCAUGACAUAUAGAUGUCAUGAAAAUAUUUAACUAUUAAGUAAAACUUUAAAUACUUGAAUCAACUAUUUCCAAAAUUACUCGAGGCGGCCAUUCGACUUUCCACGCGUCUCCAACUGCAAUAACCUGAAAUGUUAAUAAUGGGAUGAGCAUACAUUGUAUACUCAAUGUGGGAACAUGCAAUUAUUGUCCACGUUAAUAAAAUGAGACACAUAUGAUCACAUUCUAACUGAAGUCCACGGUGGCAUACCAAGGACCUUUCCGUCCUGGACCGAUUAGCCGCCCCUGGCGACUGGUUGCAACCAUAACUUUAACAUGAAUCGCAUUGUGGCAUACCAAGGAUCUGUCUCCUGGACCAUUCACGGCCCCUAGCGAUAUAAUUAAUGCAACUCACAUAUGGUAAACACAUAAUAUUAAAAUGGACAACAAUUAACCACAGCAUGUACUGAAAUAAAUCCCACACCUGAAACUUGAAUUUGAUAAUUUAACUUUGAAAGUUCAAAUCAAAAUCCACGUCCUAGUCGCGCCGCACCUAGUC
rnacentral:lncRNA from 1 species